UCCGGUUGAUCCUGCCAGAGGUCACUGCUAUCGGGGUUCGAUUAAGCCAUGCGAGUCGAGAGGGUUCGGCCCUCGGCGUACUGCUCAGUAACACGUGGAUAACCUGCCCUAGGGGAGGGGAUAACCCCGGGAAACUGGGGAUAAUACCCUAUAGGUUACAGAUGCUGGAAUGCCCUGUAACCAAAAGCUCCGGCGCCCUAGGAUGGAUCUGCGGCCGAUUAGGUUGUUGUUGGGGUAACGGCCCAACAAGCCCGUAAUCGGUACGGGUUGUGGGAGCAAGAGCCCGGAGUUGGAUUCUGAGACACGAAUCCAGGCCCUACGGGGCGCAGCAGGCGCGAAACCUUUACAAUGCGGGCAACCGUGAUAAGGGAACCUCGAGUGCCUGUAAACGCAGGCUGUUCAGGUGUUUAAAACGCACCUGGAGAAAGGGCCGGGCAAGACCGGUGCCAGCCGCCGCGGUAAUACCGGCGGCUCGAGUGGUGGCCGCUUUUAUUGGGCUUAAAGCGUUCGUAGCUGGGUUGUUAAGUCUCUUGGGAAAUCUGGCGGCUUAACCGUCAGGCGUCUAAGGGAUACUGGCAAUCUUGGAACCGGGAGAGGUGAGGGGUACUUCGGGG
rnacentral:rRNA from 1 species